GACGAACGCUGGCGGCGCGCUUAACACAUGCAAGUCGAACGGAAAGGCCUGCUUUCCCUUGUGGAUUGCGGGUACUCGAGUGGCGAACGGGUGAGUAACACGUGAGUGAUCUUCCCCCAACUUGGGUAUAAGCCUGGGAAACUGGGUCUAAUUCCCGAUAGGACUGCAGGGUGGUGCCUGUGGUUGAAAACGUUUUUCUUGUUGUUGGGGAUGAGCUCGCGGCCUAUCAGCUUGUUGGUUGGGUAAUGGCCUACCAAGGCGGGGACGGGUAGCCGGCCUGAGAGGGUGGACGGCAAGAUUGGGACAGAGAUAAGGCGCAGACUGCUACGGGAGGCAGGAGAGGGGAAUAAAGGAAAAUGGGGGGAAGACUGAAGGAGCGAGGACGGGUGGGGGAUGACGGGCGUCGGGUUGUAAACGCCUUUCGACAGAGAGGAAGACACCUGGUUGGAAGGGUGGUGACGGUAGUGGUAGAAGAAGCACCGGCUAACUACGUG
rnacentral:rRNA from 1 species